GAGUUCGGGGUCGGGGCGCGGGAAGGCGGGAGGUGCCCGGCAACCCUAGGAGCCCGGCGCGGGGCACGAUGGGACGCCCCCGGGAAGAGGCGGAGCUGGGUUCGAGCGCUGGGGCUGCGGUUGGGAAACUACUGGAGGAUGUGGUGCACCAGAAUAAGAGAAUAAACCAAGAAACAGGAAGACGUGAUCCAGGCAACAGGAUAUUCCAGUAUAGAAUUUAAUUCUGGAGUGUGAGCAGGAACCAGUUAACUACAUUCAUUGUCCAACCCCCACUGGUUUGAAAGAAGACUCCAAAUUCUUGGCAUAUGAAUCAGCUGUUCGGUAGCUCCACCUUAUCCCUGCAGCGAAGCAGCAGAACCGCCAAUGGCGGCACCUCAGGAUUCACACUGUGGGUGGUGAGGCCUUCCGCUGA
rnacentral:lncRNA from 1 species